GACGAACGCUGGCGGCGUGCUUAACACAUGCAAGUCGAGCGGUAAGGCCUUUCGGGGUACACGAGCGGCGAACGGGUGAGUAACACGUGGGCGACCUGCCCUCCACUCUGGGAUAAGCCCGGGAAACUGGGUCUAAUACCGGAUAUGACCUUCCUCUGCAUGGGGGUUGGUGGAAAGUUUUUCGGUGGGGGAUGGGCCCGCGGCCUAUCAGCUUGUUGGUGGGGUGAUGGCCCACCAAGGCGACGACGGGUAGCCGGCCUGAGAGGGCGACCGGCCACACUGGGACUGAGACACGGCCCAGACUCCUACGGGAGGCAGCAGUGGGGAAUAUUGCGCAAUGGGCGGAAGCCUGACGCAGCGACGCCGCGUGGGGGAUGACGGCCUUCGGGUUGUAAACCUCUUUCGCCAGGGACGAAGCGUGAGUGACGGUACCUGGAUAAGAAGCACCGGCCAACUACGUGCCAGCAGCCGCGGUAAAAC
rnacentral:rRNA from 1 species